AGAGUUUGAUCCUGGCUCAGGACGAACGCUGGCGGCGUGCCUAACACAUGCAAGUCGAACGGGGCCAGGGCAACUCUGGUUCAGUGGCGGACGGGUGCGUAACACGUGAGGAACAUGACCUUCGGCGGGGGAUAGCCGGCCCAACGGCCGGGUAAUACCGCGUACGACCUUUCGGGGACACCCCCGGCUGGUGAAAGCAGCAAUGCACCGAAGGAGUGCCUCGCGGCCUAUCAGCUAGUUGUGAGGUAACGGCUCACCAAGGCGACGACGGGUAGCUGGUCUGAGAGGAUGGCCAGCCACAUUGGGACUGAGACACGGCCCAGACUCCUACGGGAGGCAGCAGUGGGGAAUAUUGCGCAAUGGGCGAAAGCCUGACGCAGCGACGCCGCGUGUGGGAUGACGGCCUUCGGGUUGUAAACCACUGUCGGGAGGGACGAAUGCGCCGCAAGGCGAGUGACGGUACCUCCAAAGGAAGCACCGGCUAACUCCGUGCCAGCAGCCGCGGUAAUACGGAGGGUGCGAGCGUUGUCCGGAAUCACUGGGCGUAAAGGGCGCGUAGGCGGCCUGAUAAGUAGGGGGUGAAAUCUUGCGGUUAACCGCAAGGCUGCCUUCUAAACUGUCAGGCUAGAGCACAGUAGAGGCAGGUGGAAUUCCCGGUGUAGCGGUGGAAUGCGUAGAGAUCU
rnacentral:rRNA from 1 species